rnacentral:lncRNA from 1 species
GGACGAGGUGGCUCAACGGGGCUGAGAGUGGUUCGGCCGAGGCGCGGGCUGAGCCCUCAGCACCUGGCCUGAGCGGCGUGGGCAGCAGCCUGCACCGCGGACACCUCCAACUCUGCCGCGUCUGCGCCGCACUCUGGCCGUGGCAGCGAUUUUCCGGGCAUCUCUGAGGCCGCCCUUAGUCCCACAAGCACUUAGCCGCCCAUUUCAGAGCAGCGGCGCCGACCGUUUUAAGAGGAGUCAGUUCCCGACACCGCCUCCCACUUACUUCUCCACAUUUCCACCGCUGGAGGGGGGACUUCGGCUAUCACAGUCGAGGGAGGUUGAAAACCCCACUUCAAAACCCGUCGGAAUGUUUUGAGAAAAUGUGGAUGGUAAUGGAGAAAUGUGAACAGAGGAGAGAAAGUAGCGGUCUUGUAAAGGAUAUACGAUAUUUUCCAAGUGGGCAGAAAGCACAGGAGGGAAAUGGCACAGUGACAAGAGGUCAGGGGAGCGGGAGAUGGAGCCAAGGGUCGGCGUUUGACGCUUACAGAGUUCUGGAAGGGAAAGGACCCUUCUAUUCCAUGCAUUCCUGCGCUGCGAUGUUUUUGUGCCACACACCAUAGCUGAAGAAGUUUCACUUAAUGCCUUACAGUAAAUUGGAAGGAAAGAAAGAAUGAGAGCAAGAAAUGUCCCAUGUCAAAAAUUCUGCUGCGUGGAGAGAAAUGGUGAAAUACAAGCGAUUUGGAGAAUAACUAUAUUGUUCAGAAUUCUUCUGUAUUCUCUCAGACUAUUGUUCUUCACGAUAUAUGUGGUCUGGAUUCAGGUAAGAAAUGAUGAAAUUUUUUAUUAAAUAAAG